rnacentral:rRNA from 1 species
CCUACGGGGGGCAGCAGUGGGGGAUAUUGCACAAUGGGGGAAACCCUGAUGCAGCGACGCCGCGUGAGUGAAGAAGUAUUUCGGUAUGUAAAGCUCUAUUAGCAGGGAAGAAAAUGACAGUACCUGACCAAGAAGCCCUGGCUAACUACGUGCCAGCAGCCGUGGUAACACGGAGGGGGCAAGCGUUAUCCGGAUUUGACGGGGGUAAAGGGAGGGUAGGAGGUUAUGUAAGGCUGGAGUGAAAGCCCCGGGCCCAACCCCGGGACUGCUUUGGAAACUGUGUGACUGGAGUACAGGAGGGGCAGGCGGAAUUCGUGGUGUAGCGGUGAAAUGCGUAGAUAUCAGGAAGAACACCGGCGGCGAAGGCAGCCUGCUGGACUGAAACUGACGUUGAGGCACGAAAGCGUGGGGAGCAAACAGGAUUAGAUACCCUAGUAGUC